rnacentral:rRNA from 1 species
GAAACAUCUAAGUACCCGGAGGAAGAGAAAACAAAAGUGAUUACGCUAGUAGCGGCGAGCGAACGCGUAUUAGCCCAAACCAUAUCGUUUACGGACGGUAUGGGGUUGUAGGACCACGCCAUUUUAUGCAUAAUGAAUUAGAACCCUUUGGAAAGAGGGGCCAAAGACGGUGAUAGCCCGGUAUAGGUAAAGCAUGUUAUAGAUAGUGGUAUCCUGAGUAGUGUGGGGCACGUGAAACCCUGUAUGA